rnacentral:rRNA from 1 species
ACGAGGUAGAAUGUUAACCUAAAGAAUUUGGCGGGAUUUAAUCUUAUUAGGGGAACCUGUCCUGUAAAUGAUGAUACACGAUUGGCUUUACUAGGAUUUAGGGUUUGUAUACUUCCGUUAUAAGGAUAUUUAUGGAUAAUAUUUUCGUGUUUUUUUUUAAAAAUUAUUUCAGGUCAAGGUGCAGCUUAUGUGCUAGUAGGAGAUGGGUUACAAUGAUAUUAAUCAUAUGAAUAUUAUUUUUUAAUUUGUGAUUGAAGGUGGAUUUAUAAGUAAGACUUUAUAAUUAUAGGGUUUGAAUAAGUUCUAAUUUGUGUACACAU